CACCAAAUUUUGCUUUAACAAAAGAACUAAAUGAAAAUACAAACAAAAGCACCAAAUUUUGGUUGAAAGUCUGGCGGGACUGGGCUUUGGCGAGAGAAUAUGAUGCUGACAUUGAGAAGUACGUAUCCAAUUUUGUCAUGUUAAUAAUAAACAAGUAAUCAUGCGAUGUUGCUCGUACAAUUAGGGAUUAAUGGUACUCGU